rnacentral:rRNA from 1 species
UACAGAGGUCUCAAGCGUUGUUCGGAAUUAUUGGGCGUAAAGGGUGCGUAGGCGGUUUGGUAAGUCUGAUGUGAAAUCUAUGGGCUCAACUCAUAGUCUGCAUCGGAAACUGCCGGGCUUGAGUGUGGGAGAGGUGAGUGGAAUUUCCGGUGUAGCGGUGAAAUGCGUAGAUAUCUGGAGGAACACCGGUGGCGAAGGCGACAUCCUGGACCGGUAUUGACGCUGAGGCGCGAAAGCGUGGGGAGCGAACAGG